rnacentral:lncRNA from 1 species
CCAUGUGUUGCAUCUCUUUCAAGCAACCACUACAACUGUUAAUGAUUCUCCAUUCCAACCCCCAUCUACCCCAAACCCAUUCCCCCCAUUUUCUUUUUGAAUAUUUUCCCUCCAAAAUUAUAUUCCCCAUUUACUUUCCCCUAAAAUUUUACUCCUCAAAACCCUCCAAAAAUUUUUAUUUUUCCUCUAAACUUUUUAUUUCUCACCCUUUACC